GCUGGGUGGAUUAGUGGCGAACGGGUGAGUAACACGUGAGUAACCUGCCCCCGACUCUGGGAUAAGCCCGGGAAACUGGGUCUAAUACCGGAUAUUACCUUUGACCGCAUGGUUGUUGGUGGAAAGAUUUAUCGGUGGGGGAUGGACUCGCGGCCUAUCAGCUUGUUGGUGAGGUAAUGGCUCACCAAGGCGACGACGGGUAGCCGGCCUGAGAGGGUGACCGGCCACACUGGGACUGAGACACGGCCCAGACUCCUACGGGAGGCAGCAGUGGGGAAUAUUGCACAAUGGGCGAAAGCCUGAUGCAGCGACGCCGCGUGAGGGAUGACGGCCUUCGGGUUGUAAACCUCUUUCAGUAGGGAAGAAGCGAAAGUGACGGUACCUGCAGAAGAAGCGCCGGCUAACUACGUGCCAGCAGCCGCGGUAAUACGUAGGGCGCAAGCGUUAUCCGGAUUUAUUGGGCGUAAAGAGCUCGUAGGCGGUUUGUCGCGUCUGCCGUGAAAGUCCGAGGCUCAACCUCGGAUCUGCGGUGGGUACGGGCAGACUAGAGUGAUGUAGGGGAGACUGGAAUUCCUGGUGUAGCGGUGAAAUGCGCAGAUAUCAGGAGGAACACCGAUGGCGAAGGCAGGUCUCUGGGCAUUUACUGACGCUGAGGAGCGAAAGCAUGGGGAGCGAACAGGAUUAGAUACCCUGGUAGUCCAUGCCGUAAACGUUGGGCACUAGGUGUGGGGGACAUUCCACGUUUUCCGCGCCGUAGCUAACGCA
rnacentral:rRNA from 1 species